rnacentral:rRNA from 1 species
GACGAACGCUGGCGGCGUGCUUAACACAUGCAAGUCGAACGAUGAACCCGGAGCUUGCUCCGGUGGAUUAGUGGCGAACGGGUGAGUAACACGUGAGUAACCUGCCCUUGACUCUGGGAUAACUGCGGGAAACUGUAGCUAAUACCGGAUACGACCCUCGGCGGCAUCGCCAGGGGGUGGAAAGAAUUUCGGUCAAGGAUGGACUCGCGGCCUAUCAGCUAGUUGGUGAGGUAACGGCUCACCAAGGCGACGACGGGUAGCCGGCCUGAGAGGGGGACCGGCCACACUGGGACUGAGACACGGCCCAGACUACUGCGGGAGGCAGGAGUGGGGAAUAUUGCACGAUGGGCGCAAGCCUGGUGCUGCAGCGCCGCGUGGGGGAUGACGGCCUUCGGGUUGGAAGCCUCGUUUAGUAGGGAAGAAGCGAAAGUGACGGUACCUGCAGAAAAAGCACCGGCGAACUACGUGCUAGCCGCGGCGUUAA